ensembl:lncRNA
CUCCAACAUUCCCCCGGAGUACCAAGAAACCCAGGGAACAAUCGAAAGGCGAGAGACCAGUGGCAGAGCAGGGGAGGGUGUUGCAGGCGUAUUCAACCCACACGAGUUGCUGGCUCCAGCUUGUGGGGUUGGCGGCGACAAGGCAGCGAUGAGUUGUCUCCAGGUCUUGAUUGGCUCGCUCCGACUGGCCGUUGGACUGAGGGUGGAACCCGGAGGACAGGCUGGCCGACGACCCAAUGAGUGUGCAGAACGCCUACCAGAACCGGUACGAGAACUGAGGACCCCGUUUGGAGACCAUGUAGCCAGGGGGCUAUAGCGGAAUGACAGCGCAUCCUGCUUGAUAAUCUUGGAUCCCGGUCGGUAGGAUAGGGAGACGGUCGAUCCCCAGUCAUAGGGUCGGUGUGGAGGAAGUGAAGUGGCCCUCUUGAGAUCUGCCCCUCUGGGCCCACCCCUCUUCCUGUGUCAUCGAGAGCCAACCGGCGUGCACGGUGAGGCGCAUCCUGAAGGUUCGACUGUGGGGCAGGGGAUUCCAGUACCUGGUUGACUGGGAAGGUUAUGGCCUGGAGGAGAGGUGCUGGGUCCAACGCCGUCAUUCCGGUCAACCAGUUCCUGUUUUCUAGUUUUGAUCAUUCUGCCUGCCCUGACCCUGAGCCUGCCGUUCCGUACCUUGUCACACCACACUGGAUUACUGACCUCUGCCUGCCUGCC